rnacentral:lncRNA from 1 species
CUAUUGUUUCAACCUUGAUCUAGAGAUCCUUCAAAGCUUUCAAGAGAUCUUCAAUCAACGAUCAUCCUCUUCUCAAGCAUUCGUUCAAGCGUUCAUCCAUCUUGAGAAAAUUCAAAAAAGGGUUUCUUCAUUUGAGUAAAGUUUUUAUUGUUAUAUUCGCUCAUUUAAGGAGCUGUUAUUGUAUUAAUUUGUGCUUUAAAUUCUCUUACUCUUGUAAGU